rnacentral:misc_RNA from 1 species
GCAGAGAAUACAUAUCAAACCCACAACAGCUGGGUAUGGGCAGACAACAAGCGACAAUGAAUGAGCACCAUUGAAACAUUGGGUAGUCACAAGUGUACAACCCCAACAAAUUCACGUGGAAAGCUUGAGAGUGAUCUUGGUCAACAGGAUAUGAUCUCAUCAAGAUACAGCGACAAAUCGGUAUGGAUUCGUCUCUCCAUAAAAUAGAUCCACAAGAUGCUGCAGAUUACUUUCACUCAGUCGUGAGCCAUGCACUUGACGGUCUGUUGGAACGAGUUGCAGGUGAAUCAGACACAGAGAAGUACGCACGGGUCAGCUCCUCUCUAAGAGAAAUUUCCUACUUGUACAAAGAGCGACUGAAGGACGCCGAUUCUGAGCUUCGAACGGACUGGAGUGAACCUGUCAACCAGUGUGCUUAUGUGUACUUGUACUUCAUGCAACACUGCUACAUGAUGUACGUGGCGAUGCAGCCUCUGUUGAGUCAAAGAUUUGGUCACAUCAGGGCUAGACUGGAGUACAGGAAGGAGCGUCAUCGUCAGCUGCGAGUAUGCAGCAUCGGUGGAGGCCCGGGGUCAGAUAUUGUCGGUUUGAGCAGAUUUCUGGAAGACAGCGGUCUGUUUCCCGACUCUUUAGAAUUCACUGUCUUGGAUAGAUGGAAAGAUUGGGCUCGUGCGUGGUGUGUAAUCAAAAGACAAGUACCGUCCAGUGUCUCUGUGACGUAUAAAGAGUGUGAUUUGGUGACAGAUGCUUGUCUCUCAACUGGAGUCUUGAAGAGACUUCGAGAAGUUGAUAUCCUAACCCUAGAGAAAUCCUUUUCUGCGGUAGUAGCGUUUAUGGAAGAGGAAACUUGCCGGAAAAGGCUUCUAACCAUCCUCUGUGAAUUAAAACUGGGAUGUAUAGUGCUCUUCAUCGACAAUCGCCGACAUGACCUUGUGACGGCGCCCUUCUUCAACCUGUUUGCUUUGCCCGCUGGUCUGAGACUUGUUAACCAGUGGGAAGGACUGCCAAAGGUACCAAUACGAGGAUAUUCGAGACGAGUUGAAGAAUUUAAAGAUACCGUUGACUACAACCCGAUGUCAAGCUGCUUGGUCACUAAUCUGUUGUUUGUAAAAGCUCGACCUGGCAGCAUCCCUGGAACUGGCCGAGCAGGCUUCAACUAUGAAGUGUAUCGUCGUUCAGUGGACAACUAUGGUGGAUUCUAUGAAGACACACCACUUCUUAAAAAGAUCUGGUGGGAAGACCCCAAUAGCAUCAUACCUGAGGACAGUGAUACAAGAUUGUUUGACUCGGAGUUGGUAGACUUCGACAGUUACAGCUUCUUCGGCUUCACGGAGUAUGGGCAAUUUGAGAUAAAUUUCAGAGACAUGAGGGCAGAGCAGAAAUGCUCCUGCUGGGCAAGGGCUACGAAGACUAGGAGGAGGAAAAGAAGAGCGGAGAUAGAAAGGGAGCAAAGGAUGAAAGUUGGCCGAGUGAGAGUAACUGCGAGGACGAACAAGAGUAGGAAAGACAUACAAAGAGACGUGCAGACAGAAACACCCAGGGAGCACAGGGAGGCCAUAUUGAAGAGACACUCAGUGCACGCUAGCAAGGAGAUGGCAAAGAUCAGAAGAAAGGAGAUACGAUGCAAAGCAGAGGAGAGAGAAUUAUGAAUCCAGAACAUCUCAGUCUUUUCCCUUAAUCCCCAUGGUCAUAGCAAAAGUCUGCUGGGGGACGGAAUUUCUCUUCAUGAAAACCAGGAAUCAAUUUGGAACAGGUGGAGCAUCAUAAACGGUGACGACGUGGGUCGGGCAGAACAAAUUCGCUCCCCAAAACAAUGAGGAUGGAUUCAACGGAAGUUAAUGCCGCUGUCUUUGUCCGUGGUCUUUUGGGGAAGGUUCUGGACGACCUUCAAGCUGAGGUUGACGGGCCAUCAAAGAAUGAUCGAAUCAAACAGUCCAUACAGAACAUCUCACAAAUGUACAAACAGGGACUCUCUCGGGCUUCCACUAAUUUUCGAUCUGACUGGAACGAUCCGUCCAACCGCUGCGCAUACGUGUUCUUGUACCUAUUGCAACACUGUCACCUUGUGUACCACUCGAUCCACAAGAGUGACAUAUCGAAAAUGUUGUCGAAGAAGAAGAGGCUGAAGGUGUGCUGCAUCGGCGGGGGACCGGGAUCAGACGUGAUUGGCCUGACUUCCUUCCUCCGUGAGAACAGCAGCCUUCAGCAAUCCCUGGACUGUCUGGUCUUGGAUCUGUAUCCUACCUGGCGAGACACCUGGCAUUUAAUCCGCCGACACAUGCCAGACGGACUCAAUUUGAGUGUAACUUACCAGGGGUGUGAUCUUGUCCAAGAUUCAUCGGUAGGGGGAAAUGUGUUGGGAUUCAUCCAACAGGCUGACAUGCUAACCUUUGUGAAAUCCUUCUCCACAGUCUCUGCUUUCUUCCGAGCCGACUCGAGACGUGGGGAUCUCCUCCGAUCUAUCCUUCAAGAAAUAAAGCCCGACUGCUUUGUGUUGUUCAUCGAUAACAAACACUUGAGGGACAAAGAGUUCCAGCAGCAGUUUGCCUCCAGAGCGGGUCUGAAACUGGUGUUUGAAUACCGCGGCACACAAACACUGCCAAAUGUCGGUCCGUACACCACCACCAUAAAAAAGUACAGCCGUCUUCUGGACUUCAAGCCACUGCGUACCUGUGAUGUACUCAUCCAAGUGUUUUGCAAAGAGUCAGUUGGUGCAGUCAGCAGAGAAUCGCAGCCAGUUUCCCGUGACAGUCCGCUUCCUAGCAGCAGCACCACCACUACCACCAGCAGCGCACGCCGAAGGCCCGCACCUCCGCCUGCCCCAUCGGUAGUGCGUCAGGCAGCCCCGCAGCGAUGCCAAUACCUUCUACAAAAUUUCUUUGCGUACGAAAGAAGGGAACCAGAGAUUUCUGAACCAGUACAACCUGCCAGACAGGGGCUAUCUUCAGCUUCGGCCGGUAUGUUGUUGGAGUCAGUGUUCUUUUGAUCAGCUUUUUGCGAAAUAAGUAAGCCUUUAACUGAGGCGUAAGAUCGUUGACUUUAAUAUACCCUUUUUCUGGUUUUAGAAAUAGUUCAUAAACAAUCGAUCGUAUAAGUGUAAAAUUACUUUAAAUUAUCAUAGUAUAAACUUAUGAUUUUUUUCAUCACCUUUUUCUGUACUUAAAUAUCACUAUGUUGUACUUUAUGCUAUCCCACUUUUUAUUGUUUUGACAAAGGGAUUAAAGUAAUUGUCAAUUGAAUGAACAUGUGAAACAGAAAACGACUAAAAACGGAUUGCUUUUGUAUAUAAACACCGCUGUUGUACUUGCUGUUGCCCACAGAUAUACGAGCCAAGAAAAGGCUAGAGUUACUGAAUUAUCUGG